rnacentral:rRNA from 1 species
GAUGAACGCUGGCGGCGUGCCUAAUACAUGCAAGUCGAGCGAACAGACGAGGAGCUUGCUCCUCUGACGGUAGCGGCGGACGGGUGAGUAACACGUGGAUAACCUACCUAUAAGACUGGGAUAACUUCGGGAAACCGGAGCUAAUACCGGAUAAUAUAUUGAACCGCAUGGUUCAAUAGUGAAAGACGGUUUUGCUGUCACUUAUAGAUGGAUCCGCGCCGCAUUAGCUAGUUGGUAAGGUAACGGCUUACCAAGGCAACGAUGCGUAGCCGACCUGAGAGGGUGAUCGGCCACACUGGAACUGAGACACGGUGCAGACUCCUCCGGGAGGCAGCAGUAGGGAAUCUUCCGCAAUGGGCGAAAGCCUGACGGAGCAACGCCGCGUGAGUGAUGAAGGUCUUCGGAUCGUAAAACUCUGUUAUUAGGGAAGAACAAAUGUGUAAGUAACUAUGCACGUCUUGACGGUACCUAAUCAGAAAGCCACGGCUAACUACGUG